rnacentral:tRNA from 1 species
CAGGGAGACAACAAAAUGUUAAAUAUUAAUUUUGUCACCUUAGGUCGAUCGGUAUCUCACAUUCUUAAUUAAUUAAGGAUUUUAUUUCCUAAGUUUUUUCUAGGUCACACCCAUUAUUUUCCUGGGCCAUUAGCUCAGGUGGUUAGAGCGCACCCCUGAUAAGGGUGAGGUCCCUGGUUCAAGUCCAGGAUGGCCCAUAUCUCUAUGUUGGGGGUAUAGCUCAGUUGGUAGAGCGCCUGCUUUGCAAGCAGGAUGUCAGCGGUUCGAGUCCGCUUACCUCCACUGAUUACCACCUCUUCCAUAAUUUAUAGAAGGGAAACUUUUGGAGUGUGAUCAAAUUCUGAACGAAUCUAGCUUCCUAAUUAAACUUAUUAAGAUGCUGGACUCAUUGAAUUAAUUUCAUUGUUUUCAGAGAACCUUGACAACUGCAUAGAUUAUUUUUAAAGACAAUAAGCAUCUUUUUUGAUGCAGAUUUUUUAUUUUAUGCGAAUGCAUUAAUAACAAUUCUAUUAAGCUGAUGCUUCAAUUUUUGAAGUUAUU